GUGGCUUGUCAGUCUGAAUAAAGAGAAAACCAUUGACAGUAGUGACUGGGAUUUUUUUAUAUGCAGUGAAAGCAGAAGAAAUCGCCUGAAGGAAGACAUAUUUGUCCUCUUUUGUGAAAUCUACAGGCAUGAUCUGGGAAAAAGAAAAAGGGUUGAUGGACUGAGACAAAAUGGGCAGUUUCCCCCCUUUCCAACAGGGAGGACAUCUUUAUUCCUUCCCCGGCUUGCGGGUUUCCUAUUCAGCUCUCUUCAAAAUAAUGCCGGCUGAAUGAAAAGUGCUGCAAAUCAAUCUUUCAUGGUGUUUUUGAGGGCAAUUUGACAUCCAUGCACUCUUCUUUUCUUUGAGAUAAGUACAAGGGGAAAAAACUGGACAAGGAUGGGGUCUGGCGAGUGGGGAACUUCCAAAGAGAGAUGCGAGGAGAGCGCUGAGGAGAAUAUAGGACAAGUGGUGAGAGGGUCAGAGAGUUGGCAAAUUCCCAUGUUAGCCAGACGCUCCAUUCUCCAACUGUUUGCCAUUUCAAGGUCCUUUUUGCAUUUUUGCUGAAAGGACUCCAGCAUCUCUGAGACUUAAUGGAUGGCCCGACAAAUAAAAAUCUCUGCAUACCAACUGUCA